UUGCCAUUGUGUGUGAAUGUUUUUGUUUUGAUAUGAGAACAAAUACGCACAAUGUUUCGAUGUAUGUCUCGUUGGUGGUCGUUCGGUCUGUAGGUCGGUCGGUAGGUCGUUUAUUCGUUUGUUUGUUGUCAAGUUUUGCUGUUGUUCACUUUUUGCUACAAGUCAGUUCUUUUUAAGUUGUAGCCAUGGUCGUACGUACUACAUAGAGCCCUCCCCGAGAGACAGCCAGCCAGCCAGCCAGCCAUGUGUGCUAGAAGUAGAGAGUAAAACAAAAACAACAAUAAAAAAAACAUAAACACUUGAACUCGUGAAGGAGAAAAAAAAACAAACUUUUUGGAUACUUUGAAAAUAAAAAAAAAAUAAAAACAAUUUUUUUUUGUUAGAAAAACCAAGAGAGUUUGAAAAAAAAGAGAGAGAGAGAGAGAGAGAGAGUGCUAGCCAUUGUGUGUGGGAAUAUAUUGGCCUAACCUCUCAAACGCCCCCUCGUAAAUGAAACGAAUGAAAUGAUAUAUCAUUUGACUUUCGUUAGAGUUGUUGGCGUUCGUUCUCAUUACAAUUUCAACUGAGUUCUGAGUGUGUGUGUGGCCGGCCGUUUCGUGCUGUUAAUUCUCUGUGGAUUUUCAUUAGAUAUUCGGACGCCCAAGUGAGCAAACGUAGAGCAAAAGCAAGCAAGCAAGACUCAUCACACUCAUAACAAACGCUUUCAGUUCUUCCCAAAAAAAAACCCCGACCCCCCUACCCCAUCCCUGGUGUGUUGGGUAUUUACAAUGUAUUAGAAUCCGAAUCCGGUAGAUAGAACAAGAAGAGCAGCGCAUUGUUUUUGUUGCUGUUGUCUCUAUGCAUGGAUGUGUGUGUGUGUGUGUGUGUCAGCUGUAUGAACAUUGUUCGUUCGUAUUUUUUCGCAAGUGUUAACGUCGAACGCUCAGUUUGAUUUUAAGCGUUUAUUUAAAAAGCUGAAAUCGUCGCGUAAGCAACACUCGUGCUAGCGCUAAACUUGGAAUAUUUGAAAAUUACAAAACAAAUAAAGCAAACGAUUUGAAAGUCCCACAAAUAAAUGGAAUUAAUAGAAUCUAUGUUUUGAAAAAGAGAAAAAAAUCAAAAGAAAGAAGAAAUAAAAUUCUUAGAAAUCCAGUGACCUCUUGACCAAUGGCCUGUUAUUAAAACUCCAAUUGGAAGUGUUGCCAUAGCAAUCGAGUUUUCCUUAGAAAAAAAAUCUGUGCAAUAUACAAAAAAAAAAAAUGAAAAUGGUCAUGCUGUAGUCCUUAAAGUCCCCCGAAAAGUCUUCUCAGAGAAGGGAGAUUUUUUGAAAUAAAAAUACCAAUUUAAGAAAAAAUUUAAUAACAAAAUUGAAAAAGUGCCUAAAAAAUAUUUCAAAAAAAAAAAUACAAAAACAGGGAUUAAAGGGAAAUUACAAAAAACCAAAUACUCCCCCCUCUCCCCGGAAACACCAAGUGCAAUUUUUACACAAAAAAACCAACAACAAAAAAUGUUAUAAAAUUUAAAACAAAAAAACAACAAUGUUAACCACAGUGCCCUUAUUGAAAGAAAAACAACAACAACAAAAGCUAUGAAAAAUAACAACAACAACGAUACAAAUGUUUAAAAUAUAAGAAAAAAAGAAGAACAACAAAAACCAAACCGGCUUGGCCUUAUUUUUUUAUUAAUGAAAAUAUUAAAAAAAAUAAUAUUGAAAAAAAAAAUAUAAAAAACUGCAAAAACUUAUAUAAUUUACUUCAUCUUUAUCUCCAUGUGAAUAUAUUAUAUAUAAAAUAUAUAUAUACAAAAGUGCCUACAAUUUGUGUAUCUGUGUGUGCGUGCGUGUGCAUUUCAUUAUUUAAUUGUUAUUAUUUUUUUAUUAAUACUACAUCAAAGCAAAAAUUAUUGCAUCUCCUCACAACAACAACAAAAGAUAUAAUAAAUUUUAAUCAUUUGGAAAUUUUAUUAAACACCUUCGCCGCCUCAGCCCCUUGCUUUUUUCCAGAGCAAGCUAUCAAACAGCUGUUUUGUUUACCAAUCAAUCAGCUGUUUACUCUCUCCGGAUAUUAAUUCAACGAAUUUCCAAAUAUUCGGCCUUGAAUAUUCAUAAUUAUGUUAACCAUUGUUGUAUUGGGUAAUGGAUGUUCAACGUUUAAACAAUUUCCAGCAAGCAUACCCAGCUCACCAUAAUCCCAAAUUUAAAAAUUUUGAAUUCUAAAAAAAAUACAAAAACAAGAGAAAAAAAUUCUAAGAACAAAAAUAAAAACAAAAAACUUUGUAACGAAGGCCUUAAACUGUGAUUUUAAUUUAUAAGUGUUACAAACAAAGCAACAACAAAAAUAUUUUUAGCUUAGCAAAAAAAGCUAAAAAAAGCAACAGCCUUAUUUUUUGCAAAAAAUUAAAAAACAACAACAAAAUAGUUUAUAAACAACCGGAAAAAUGUUUAAUUUAAAUAUACCUCCCUCUUCGUUGCUGGGUGUGGAAGGCUCCGGUGGCCUGUGCUCCAAGCCCAAUACACCCGAAAUUCUCAAUUCUCUAAUUGCCAUGACAAAUCCCCUGGAUAAUUAUAAUUUUAAUGCCAACAACAACAACAACUCCAGUGCCUCAACACCGAGUUCGGUGACAGUGCGCAAUUUUAACAACCAGAAUAUCUCCCAGGACAGCUGUCAUUCGAGCAGCUCCUCAACACCAUUGGAUUCACCUGCAAAUACAAAUUUUACUCCCAGUGUACAACAGACCUGUUCGCAGCUAAUCAAAGCCGGUCUCAAGCUAUCCAUCCAAAGCAAACGCAAACUAUCCACCUGUGAUUCCAGCUCCGGCUCGGAACAGCCCAUGUCGAAGUGUUCGCGACCCAACGACGAAUACGACGAGACCACCGACGAUGACAGCGAACAGAAGAGCUGUCCCAACAGUGUCAAGGGCCUGACACCCGAGGACGAGGAUCGGCGUCGUCGUCGCCGUGAGCGCAACAAAAUUGCCGCCACCAAGUGUCGCAUGAAGAAACGCGAACGCACCCAAAAUCUCAUCAAGGAGGCCGAACAGCUGGACAAUCAAAAUGUUGAUUUAAAGAAUCAGGUGCGUCAGCUGGAAACGGAACGACGCAAACUCUUAGACAUGCUAAAGGCCCACGAACCGAACUGCAUACAUCCGGGUGGUUUGAAUUUGCCCUCGAAACUGUUGCAAUCACCUGCUUUUAAAUAUUUGGCGGAUUUGAAUUUGGAAGAUGUAGCGAGCGGUUUGAAUUCGGCCAACACUUCUGCAUCUGCCUCGAAUGUUACAAACAACAACAACAGCAAUCCGAACUCUGCCCUACAACAGGCCACUCCGCAACGCACCGCUAUCCCACCGAUGUCGACUAUCAAAUUUUCACGCAGUAACGGUUUCAAGGCCGCCGCAGCCGUGGUCUCCGCCGCUCUUACCAAUCCCGUUUCAAUUGUAUCUCAACUUCCCAGUCUGGCGCAGAACUCGCCCUCGGUCAUGCACCACCAGAACGCUGCUGUACAAUUGCCCAAUGGCUAUUGUAAACCCUCGCCCACCACCCACCAGGAACUGGCCUAUCUGAAUUCGCCCUCACAGGACAGCAAUUCGCUGUGCCUGGCCGCCGCCUUGCAGGUCCAGACACAUCUCAGCAACAACACAAGCACACCCACCGCCCAUCAGAAUGCCCUUAACAGCUCAGCUUCCAGCCUAGUUGGCGGCCAUUCCAUGGCCGAUUACAUUCCAAACUGUGACUCCGGUCUGGGCCUGUCCCUGGCCCACACACCCACCACCUGCCGGACGCCCAUCAGCAGCAAUGGCGGCGACAGCAGUGCCCUGCUGGCCAGUGUGGCCAGUCCCAUGUCCUGUGUCUCCACUCCCACCACAGCCACCGAAUUCGUGAAGAACGAACUGGUCGACUCCCAGAGUCCCUAUACGACAGCUCAAUCGGCCGAGAGAUUUCUGUUCGAGAGCAAUUGUGAUAGCUUCGUGGACAUCAAGCAUGCCGUGAAUGUCCAUCAGCCGAUCAGCCACAAUCAUGGCGGGCCGACUUUGCUGCAGAACACCAAUGGCGGUGGCAACCUGCUGGACUUUGCCACCACCCUGAUGGGAGGCGGCAAUAGCAGUGGCAGCAUUGUACCCUUCCAUGAGCAGAUAUCCAUUAAAAAUGAUUAUCUUCAUGAGGCCGAUCUGUUGGCCCAGCUGACAGGAGAUGGUGCCGAAUUUGUGGAUCUGGAUACUGGGGUGGCAGCUGCGUUUAUGGCCAAUGGUGGUUGCUUGGCUUAGAUCCAUCCCGUUUUUUUUUUCCAAACAUUUCUGUCAUGCACUCAGAGGUUUGCUAAAUGUCGUAAUUGAACAUAUUUUUGUAUUAUUAUCAAUGUUUUUUUUUUUUAACUUUUAUACAACAACAACAACAAUAUUUUUUUCUUUUUGUAAUUUUGCUGGUCAAAACCAAAUACGAAAAAAAUUUGAAAAAAAAAAAAACAAAAAUUGUCUGUUAAGUGAAAAGCAUAAAAAACAGAAAAAAAUGAAUGUGGAAAACGAAAACAAUGGCUGCUAUGUGUAACGUCAGUGGAGAGAGAUACGAAAAAGAUCGGUUGGCAACCGCUGCUACAAGGCCUACAAAAGUGAUUACUCCGAAACAUAUCUGCUGGGUUGAGUUUUCCAAUUAAUGACUUCCUUCCUCUCUGGGAAAUAUGGCUGCUAGCUACCUAACCUCCCAAAAAAAAACCUAUGUAAACCAUUUUUUCAGAAAGAAAAAACCCGAAACACCUUGGUUCCAUUUCCACAUUGUGUUUUGCUGUUGUCCCCAUCCGCAUAAAUCUCUUAGAUAUCCAUCCAGUUUUUUCGUUUCUAUUUUGUUAAUUGACCAUCAACAUGCAAUUUAAGUCUUCCAUUUUGAUAGUUGUCUUGUGUUUAUUUUAAGAAUUUUUUUUCGUUUGUUUUUGUAAGUUUUGUCUUCUUCCUCUCCGUUUGCCUAUUAAGCAAUCAAUUUUAAUGACGACCCACCUUAAUAAUUAUCGAGAGCUUAGUUGUGGUAUUUUCGUGUGCGUGUGUGUGUAUUUCCAUUAAGAAAAUCUACUUCCGUUAACUCUUUGUUAGACCACUUCCGUUAUUGCAAUACUCGCUCUCACUAUCUCUUUCUUUGGUAAAUCAAUUAAUUGAGUUGUCAGAUUGAGAAAAGUGAGAAAUGUGUUAUUUAAUGAGAGAUAAAAAAACGCCAAAUUGGUAACAUUAAAGAGGGAAGAGAAAUGAGAGAUAAAAAAACUGCCAAAUUGCUAACAUUGCAGCAGGGGUAGAAAUGUUCAAUUUAAAAUAAAAAUUCACAAAAAGGAACUUUGUGGACCUCCUACAUUUUCGAUAGAUUCACAAUAAUAAAGAAAUAUGUAAUUGGUGCUAUUAAAUCAGAGAUGGGAAAUUUCAAUUAAAAACGAAUGAGAGAUGAUGUAUAAAAAACGUAUUUUUUGUGAUGAAAGAAAAACAUGUUUCUUGAAAACGUCAGUUUGAAUCAGGCAUGGAAAAUAUAAUUUAAAAAUACACAAAAAUGAUAAAAUGAGUACCAAUUGGCAUCAUUGAUUCAAAGAAUCUUGACCUUGACCAAGACCUCCCUCAGACAGGGAUUGGAAUCCUAAAUUUUCUUUAAUUUCUACUAGGAAAUAGAGGGUCUUUCUCUGAUAUUUUAUUCCAAAAAGCUCUUUGAGCCCAUUGAAUCACUUCAAUUGUUCAGGCAUGGAAAAUAUAAUUUAAAAAAUACACAAAAAUUAUAAAAUGAAUACAAAUUGGCAUCGUUGAUUCAAAGAAGAGAAUCUUGAAUUUCUGGAAAAAAAUAAACAAAAGGAUGAUUACCAACUAUAUUUCCAGAAGAUCUACUAACGAUUAUUUUUGCAAACAAAAACGACGACAAGACCUCCCUCAGACAGGGAUGGGAAUCCUAAAUUUCCCAAAAUUCUACUUGGAAAUAGAGGGUCUUUCUCUGAUAUUUUAUUCAAAAAAGUUCUUUUAGGCCAUUGAAUCACUUCAAUUUUUGCGAUAAGAAUAUUCAUGACAUUUUUGGUCCUUCGAGGAGGCUUAAAGGCAAUAUUGAGACCUUUAUUUGGUCAGAAGAUCUACUAACUAUUGUUUUCACAGACAAAAAGGACUUGAACGCCUCGCUUAAGCAGAAAUGGAAGUCCAAAAUUUCCCAAAAGUUUCAGACAAGGUUUUUGAACCUUUCACGAUAUUUAGAACUUGAGAAAAGAUAUUUUCAACUACUUUGUUGAUUUUAUAUGCCUUCCCAAAUUAACUAGAUCCAUUUAAGUACUUUUUGGUCCUUCGAGGAGGCUUAAGAGGCCUUUUAAGGAUUUUGGAUUUUAUUAAAAAAAGGUGAAGGUUCUAAAUCAUUUUCCCAGGUCUUAAUAGAAGACCUUAAAGAGGUCCUCAAUGUCAAAAAGGCCUCCAGAAUAUCUUCUAUGUAUCGAAGAAACCCUCCCAAAGAUUUCAUGUGUGAAGAAGACUUUGAUGAAUUGAAACCUCCUGUAAGUUUUUGAUGGAAAUGCGAAAUUAGAGUGGUUCAUUUUAUCGAGAAUAUCUUCAGGUGCUACUUCAUACCUUACCUUCCCCGAAUUUUUCAUAUUAAGACGGCUUUUACUGAAAACCCAUUAAAUAUUCAAAGAAAUAUGGUCCGUUCCAGAACUGCAAGAAUAUACAAAAUUUUCCCUUUAUAGUAUCGGAAAAAAUUGCAAAAAUAGUAGAUUCUUGCAGGAUCUGAUCAAUAAGAAUUCUACAAAAAGGUAUUCUAUUAAAGAAACCAACUUCCAUCUCUGUCGUUCUCCAUUUUGUUUUUCCUUAAGAAUCCUGUAAAAUAAGUUUUUUUUUUCCAUUGAAAACAAUUUCCAUCUCUGAAGUCCAGCAUUUUGUUUUCAUUCCUCCUCUCUGGCAAUAAUUGAUGCAAUUUCUCUAUCUCUCUCUCUUUCGUACUUUAUCACAUUACAUUUUUUCCAUGUGUUCAUGCUGAAAAAUUUGCAUUGUAAAAACGCUGCAUUGAUAUCACUGGCAUUGAUUUCCGGUUCCCCUUUGCAAAUGGCUUCUCUCUCUCUAUCUUUUUAUCUUAUCCCCCAUUUCUCCCUGAAAUUACUCUUUCUUCGUUUCCAUGAGAAAUUGAAAAAACCGUGUGUGAGUGUGUUUUUCUCUGUUGUGGUUGCCAUCAGUUUUGGGUCUCGAAUAUUGUUGACAGUCAAUUCUCCUCUCUGUAGGGAUGCCAUUAAUUGAAUUAUGCCAUUUUCAGAAAAUCCCACAGAUUUGUUUUCUGGUAAAACUUUUUUAGAGCCCAACUACCUCAAUUUGUUUACAACAAAGAAAAAAAAUGCAAAACAAAACUAAAAAUAGAAACAAUCAAUUAAAUAAACAAAAAAUUAAUUGUCUUUCAAUGCAUUCCAUUAAAAAAAGUUUUAAUUUAUUUGUGAAUUUUUUCUAUUUAAGAGAAAAAUAAUUUAACAAAAAACAAACAAAUUGGAAUAUCAAAUACAUAGAAGAAAAAAUAAAAACAAAAUUCAAGUAAAGCAAAAAAAAACCUACAACAGUAAUUAUUAUUUUUAGUUUAUGUGUGUGUGCAAAAUUAAAAACAAAACUAAAAUUUAAGUUUAACAACAACAAAAAAAUCGAGAUUAAUUGUAAAAAGAAAUUGUUUAAGGAAAAUUAUACUACUCCCCUCUAAAAAUAAAACUUUGGCUUUAUCUUUAUGUUUUUUUUUAAAUCUUAAUUAUUUAAAUGAUAUUUCAUUACCUAGUGAUAAAAAACAAAAACAAAAAAACACAAAUUAUUAUUAACUACAAGGAAACUAACAAAUGCCUAUAACAACAACAACAACAACGGAAAACAAAGAAAAAAAAGUAAUGCCUUAAAUGUUGAAAAAAAUUAUAUUUAAAUAUAUAUUUUACGAAAAAACAAAAACAAA